AUUGAACGCUGGCGGCAUGCCUUACACAUGCAAGUCGAACGGUAACAGGUCUUCGGAUGCUGACGAGUGGCGAACGGGUGAGUAAUACAUCGGAACGUGCCCGAGAGUGGGGGAUAACGAGGCGAAAGCUUUGCUAAUACCGCAUACGAUCUCAGGAUGAAAGCAGGGGACCGCAAGGCCUUGCGCUCACGGAGCGGCCGAUGGCAGAUUAGGUAGUUGGUGGGAUAAAAGCUUACCAAGCCGACGAUCUGUAGCUGGUCUGAGAGGACGACCAGCCAAACUGGGACGGAGACACGGCCCGGACUCCGACGGGAGGCAGCAGUGGGGAAUUUUGGACAAUGGGCGCAAGCCUGAUCCAGCCAUGCCGCGUGCAGGAUGAAGGCCUUCGGGUUGUAAACUGCUUUUGUACGGAACGAAAAGACUCUGGUUAAUACCUGGGGUCCAUGACGGUACCGUAAGGAUAAGCACCGGCUAACUACGUGCCAGCCGCCGCCGUAACAC
rnacentral:rRNA from 1 species